UACAGGGGGGGCAAGCGUUGUUCGGAAUGACUGGGCGUAAAGGGUCUGUAGGUGGCCAACUAAGUCAGACGUGAAAUCCCUCAGCUUAACUGGGGAACUGCGUCUGAUACUGGAUGGCUCGAGUGUGGGAGAGGAAUGCGGAAUUCCAGGUGUAGCGGUGAAAUGCGUAGAUAUCUGGAGGAACACCGGUGGCGAAGGCGGCAUUCUGGACCAUAACUGACACUGAGAGACGAAAGCCAGGGGAGCAAACGGG
rnacentral:rRNA from 1 species